rnacentral:ncRNA from 1 species
CAGCGAGCGUUGAAGAGGACCAGUAAGCAGUUUUUUUCUGUGAAAGAGAGUGAAAUGAUAUGCUGAAACAUUUCACCACAUGAAACCUGCCGAACCUGCCUCAAGAGCCCUGGAGGGAAAACCCAGGCGCAUCCCGGCGUUAAAGGGGAAAGCGGAAUGCCGUUUUGCGCAUUCAAUGAAGGUGGUACCGCGGAAAGCUCUUUUCGUCCUUUUU